rnacentral:rRNA from 1 species
CAGCAGCCGCGGUAAUACAGAGGAUGCAAGCGUUAUCCGGAAUGAUUGGGCGUAAAGCGUGCGUAGGUGGUGGUUUAAGCCCGUUGUGAAAUCCCCGGGCUCAACCUGGGAAUGGCAGUGGAUACUGGCAAGCUAGAGUGUGUCAGAGGAUGGUGGAAUUCCCGGUGUAGCGGUGAAAUGCGUAGAGAUCGGGAGGAACAUCAGUGGCGAAGGCGGCCAUCUGGGACAACACUGACGCUGAGGCACGAAAGCGUGGGGAGCAAACAGGAUUAGAUACCCCCGUAGUCCCUGUCUCUUAUAC